UGUAGCUUAGUGGUAGGAUGUGUGCCUAGCAUGCACAAGUCCAUGGGUUCAAUCCCCAGUAUAA
rnacentral:tRNA from 1 species